rnacentral:rRNA from 1 species
UACGUAGGUGGCAAGCGUUGUCCGGAAUUAUUGGGCGUAAAGCGCGCGCAGGUGGUUCCUUAAGUCUGAUGUGAAAGCCCCCGGCUCAACCGGGGAGGGUCAUUGGAAACUGGUAAACUUGAGUGUAGUAGAGGCAAGUGGAAUUUCUAGUGUAGCGGUUAAAUGCGUAGAUAUUAGAAGGAACACCAGUGGCGAAGGCGACUUGCUGGGCUAUAACUGACGCUGAGACGCGAAAGCGUGGGGAGCAAACAGG